UACUGUUGAGCGGCCAAAGAGGAAAUCGUUAAGCAAUCCCACCUGGGGAGUACGCCGGCAACGGUGAAACUCAAAAGGAAUUGACGGGGGCCCCGCACAAGCGGAGGAACAUGUGGUUUAAUUCGAUGAUACGCGAGGAACCUUACCCGGGCUUGAACUGCCAGCGAACGAUUCAGAGAUGAUGAGGCCCUUCGGGGCGCUGGUGGAGGUGCUGCAUGGUUGUCGUCAGCUCGUGCCGUGAGGUGUCGGCUUAAGUGCCAUAACGAGCGCAACCCUUUUCUUUAGUUGCCAUCAGGUAAUGCUGGGCACUCUGGAGAUACUGCCACCGUAAGGUGUGAGGAAGGUGGGGAUGACGUCAAAUCAGCACGGCCCUUACGUCCGGGGCUACACACGUGUUACAAUGGGGGGUACAGAGAGUCGGAUAUACGCAAGUAUGUUCUAAUCCUUAAAGCCUUCCUCAGUUCGGAUUGGGGUCUGCAACCCGACCCCAUGAAGCUGGAUUCGCUAGUAAUCGCGCAUCAGCCAUGGCGCGGUGAAUACGUUCCCGGGCCUUGUACACACCGCCCGUCAAGCCAUGAAAGCCGGGGGCGCUUGAAGUCCGUGACCGCAAGGAUCGGCCUAGAGCGAAACUGGUAAUUGGGGCUAAGUCGUAACAAGGUAGCCGUA
rnacentral:rRNA from 1 species